rnacentral:rRNA from 1 species
AUUGAACGCUGGCGGAAUGCUUUACACAUGCAAGUCGAACGGCAGCACGGACUUCGGUCUGGUGGCGAGUGGCGAACGGGUGAGUAAUAUAUCGGAACGUGCCCAGUCGUGGGGGAUAACGUAGUGAAAAUUACGCUAAUACCGCAUACGAUCUACGGAUGAAAGCGGGGGAUAGCAAGACCUCGCGCGAUUGGAGCGGCCGAUAUCAGAUUAGGUAGUUGGUGAGGUAAAGGCUCACCAAGCCAACGAUCUGUAGCUGGUCUGAGAGGACGACCAGCCACACUGGAACUGAGACACGGUCCAGACUCCUACGGGAGGCAGCAGUGGGGAAUUUUGGACAAUGGACGCAAGUCUGAUCCAGCCAUUCCGCGUGCAGGACGAAGGCCUUCGGGUUGUAAACUGCUUUUGUACAGAACGAAAAGGUCUCUAUUAAUACUAGGGGCUCAUGACGGUACUGUAAGAAUAAGCACCGGCUAACUACGUGA